UACAAAGGGGGCUAGCGUUGCUCGGAAUCACUGGGCGUAAAGCGCACGUAGGCGGACUCUUAAGUCGGGGGUGAAAUCCUGGAGCUCAACUCCAGAACUGCCUUCGAUACUGAGAGUCUUCGAGUUCGGGAGAGGUGAGUGGAACUGCGAGUGUAGAGGUGAAAUUCGUAGAUAUUCGCAAGAACACCAGUGGCGAAGGCGGCUCACUGGCCCGAUACUGACGCUGAGGUGCGAAAGCGUGGGGAGCAAACAGG
rnacentral:rRNA from 1 species